rnacentral:rRNA from 1 species
UACGGAGGGGGCUAGCGUUGUUCGGAAUUACUGGGCGUAAAGCGCGCGUAGGCGGAUCUGCAAGUCGGGGGUGAAAUCCCGAGGCUCAGCCUCGGAACUGCCUUCGAUACUGCGGGUCUCGAGUCCGGGAGAGGUGAGUGGAAUUCCUAGUGUAGAGGUGAAAUUCGUAGAUAUUAGGAAGAACACCAGUGGCGAAGGCGGCUCACUGGCCCGGUACUGACGCUGAGGUGCGAAAGCGUGGGGAGCAAACAGG